AUGAAGUUAGCGGCGGACGGGUGAGUAACACGUGGGUAACCUGCCCAUAAGACUGGGAUAACUCCGGGAAACCGGGGCUAAUACCGGAUAAUAUUUUGAACUGCAUGGUUCGAAAUUGAAAGGCGGCUUCGGCUGUCACUUAUGGAUGGACCCGCGUCGCAUUAGCUAGUUGGUGAGGUAACGGCUCACCAAGGCAACGAUGCGUAGCCGACCUGAGAGGGUGAUCGGCCACACUGGGACUGAGACACGGCCCAGACUCCUACGGGAGGCAGCAGUAGGGAAUCUUCCGCAAUGGACGAAAGUCUGACGGAGCAACGCCGCGUGAGUGAUGAAGGCUUUCGGGUCGUAAAACUCUGUUGUUAGGGAAGAACAAGUGCUAGUUGAAUAAGCUGGCACCUUGACGGUACCUAACCAGAAAGCCACGGCUAACUACGUGCCAGCAGCCGCGGUAAUACGUAGGUGGCAAGCGUUAUCCGGAAUUAUUGGGCGUAAAGCGCGCGCAGGUGGUUUCUUAAGUCUGAUGUGAAAGCCCACGGCUCAACCGUGGAGGGUCAUUGGAAACUGGGAGACUUGAGUGCAGAAGAGGAAAGUGGAAUUCCAUGUGUAGCGGUGAAAUGCGUAGAGAUAUGGAGGAACACCAGUGGCG
rnacentral:rRNA from 2 species